GGUGCUGUACCUCAGUGGUGGAGUGUUUUCCUGCUAUGUACAAGGUCCUGUGUUCAGUUCCUAGCAACACAA
rnacentral:tRNA from 1 species